GACAGUGGCUCUCGCGAGGGGGAGCCGUGAACCUGGUCAGGACUUAACUGUAGCAGCCAUAAGCGGGGUACUCUUGUGCGAGGGCCUCUGACGGG
rnacentral:SRP_RNA from 1 species